AGCGAACGCUGGCGGCAGGCCUAAUACAUGCAAGUCGAGCGCACCUUCGGGUGAGCGGCGGACGGGUGAGUAACGCGUGGGAACGUGCCCUUUGGUACGGGAUAACUGAGGGAAACUUCAGCUAAUACCGUAUGUGCCCUACGGGGGAAAGAUUUAUCGCCAUUGGAGCGGCCCGCGUUGGAUUAGGUAGUUGGUGAGGUAAAGGCUCACCAAGCCUACGAUCCAUAGCUGGUCUGAGAGGAUGAUCAGCCACACUGGGACUGAGACACGGCCCAGACUCCUACGGGAGGCAGCAGUAGGGAAUCUUGCGCAAUGGGCGAAAGCCUGACGCAGCCAUGCCGCGUGAAUGAUGAAGGUCUUAGGAUUGUAAAAUUCUUUCACCGGGGAAGAUAAUGACGGUACCCGGAGAAGAAGCCCCGGCUAACUUCGUGCCAGCCGCCGCGGUAACAC
rnacentral:rRNA from 1 species